AAGAGGGAAAGCUGGUAGGUUUCUCUUUCAGAUCCCAAAUUCACUAACUGUGUUAGGGUAGGAUUAUUUUUUAGAUUUCACCCUCGCGCUCGCCUCACUGUCUCUAUCUGCAGCUCUCUCUUCUCCAUAGCUCUCCCUUCGUUUCAUCUCUGUAGUUCCAUGGUCUCUCAAUCUCCUUUCCAGACUUCGUUUCAAAACCAAACUUAAAUACCCAAAAUCUCAGCCACAAUCGCGCCCCUUUGCUCACAUCAAAUCUCACUGUCUCCAUCCACAAAUCGCCCCUUUGAUUUGCCAAACUCUUAUUGUCUCCAUCCACAAAUCGCCAGUUUGCUCUCCCUAACUCUCAUUGUCUGCUCCUCUUUCCUUAUCUCAAUUCCAGAACUAAACCCUAAAAACUCUCAUCCCCAAUUUACAAAAAACUCAAAUUCACCUUACUGUCUCACACUUUUAUUAUCACCUAGGACAAGGCGACAAGUGAUUGAUGAUGAGAACCCCCAAUUUGUUUCGUAUAGUUCGCACCGAAUGGCAAAUACAUUCUUGCACUUUGGAUGAUACUUUGGAACAUCAGUUACUUGAUCUUCUGGCCCUAUUCAUACAAUCAAGGGUUUACUUCUUGAUGGAUUAAUUCAAUUAAUUUAGUUAUGGGUUAAGUGGAAAGCCUUAUGGAGAUACUGGAGUGCAUCCUCAACCAGGGCAGCUGCAUGAGCCUUUGGAAUUGAGGCCAGGAAGGGGAGUUAUCUGCUUUGUGAGUAUCACUCAUCUUGCAGCCCAUUUCUUCUUAAUGCUUUUUAAGGUCAUCUUGAUUCGCAUAUAUUUCCAUUGUUUUGGGUUUCUUUUCAUAUAUAUUUCUACUGUAUUGUGUAGCAGUCUCAAAGAAUAUGCUACCUCGUCAAUUUCAUCCCAUUGGGUGUUGUUUGGUAAUAUUUAAUUUUCUUUUAAACCAGAGAAGUUUCUUAAUAAAUUAUUGCUUAUUUUUCUGAGACCUGAACUUCCUCUGCUCAACUGUUACUCCUCAUUUUCCUAUUAUUUAGGCUCUGAGUUUUUCAAAUUUUAUUUUGAGUUUAGUUCUCUAACUUAGGUUGUGAUGUGUGCAUGUUCUGUUUUAUAAAAUCUAGAUAGACCAAUCUAGAUAGUUCUUUAACUUAAUUUAAAUUGUUUUUCUUACUUCAUUUAACUUUUAAGCAUGCAGAUGCUAGCAUGACUUUUAUUUUUUUUCAAUAGACUGAUUCUCUUCCCACAUAUAGAAUGCUCUCUAGGUAGUUCAACCCACUUGGUGACACUUACUUUGCUUGAGAAAUUUCGUACUUCAUAAUUUACUGAAAAAUUAUUAGCAACAUGAUAGUACUAACAUGUGAAAUGGCUAUAUAGACACAUAAGAAGAUAUUUGUCUAUUUAUAUACUCUUCUUUAUGGAUGAUUCUAGGACUUAUAAGUCUUGUGAAGUACUCGUAAUAUGUGUUUUAACCUGAGUAGGAAUUUAUUUCCAUGCCACAAGAAUUGUCCAUCAAAUUCUCAUAGGUUUGUCAAUAGCACUAGCAUGCACAUAUAGACACUACAAGAACUUUGUUUCUUAAUUUUGUUUCCUAAAGAUUUGUUGGCAUUGUGCAGAUGAAUAACAAGUUCCAUUUUGGAAGCCCAUACAUCAGUUGAUUAAGCUAGUCUCUCUGCCCUCUAUAUCUCCUUUUUUCUUUUUUACAAUUCAUAUUCUACUUUCUGUUUUCAACCAGUAAAAAUUGAUUUUAGACAUGGGCUAGCCAUUGUCUUCUAAAUUAUGUGCAGAAAAUGGUUGCAUUUAUAGAAUACCCAUGGGCUUCAAGUUGCAUUUAUAGAAUACCCAUGGGCUUCAAGUUGCAUUUAUAGAAUACCCAUGGGCUUCUAGUCACUGGUUAGUUGUUGAUUUGGCAUUGUAUAUUACUCUUGGACUAGUUGUUGAUUUGGUUUAGACUUGGUUUAAUUAUCAGAGUGGUUGUUGGUUCACCAAAAAGAUUUGGCUUAGUUUAAUUAUGCUUGGCAUUUGAGGACCCAAUGCUUGCUUUUAUGGUUUAUACAUUUUAUUGAUCGUUUCAUAAUGCUAAUUAUGAACGUUUAGUUUCGUUGUGCAUUUAAGAGUACACAUUUUGCAUAUGUAAUUCGAAAGUUUGUCGCUGAAAUUUCUGAGAAUUUGAAACUAGAUUAAGCACACAUUCCACGAAGUUCGUAUAUUUUCUUCUAGCAAGUCUGUCUAUUAACCCCCCUUAUCUGAAAUUAAUUGUUAAAAGUUCUGAUUCAUCUUUAAUCAUUAUCUUACCCUUGUUGAAUAACACUCCGCUUUCUAAUUUUUAUUUGAAGUUUGAGGUUUCAAUUUCAAUCGUGGGCUCUGAUUUUACAGAUUUUGUUUGUCAAUUCAGUUUGGACAAAGCAUAUGUAACAAGUAUCUUAAAUAUCUAAGAAUGUGUAUGUUUAACUAUGACGUUAGAGUGAGGACUUAACAGAUUGAUGUGAUUAGUGCGGCUCAUACCACAAAGGCAAUUUUAUGCUCAUCAAGUGCUAAGGAAUGUCAAGCUUCCAAGUGACAAGUUCUACAUAGUUUGAGACUUACUGGAUAUUAGAUAAUUUGGUUCAUUUCCAUUUGUUUAUAUGUUUUUAAUAUCAUUUGCCUAUAUAGUUGACAUGUUAUAACAUUUUUGUAGUGCUGAAUAUUUAUAUAUAUAUAUAUAUAAUUUAUUUUA